GAUGAACGCUAGCGGCAGGCCUAAUACAUGCAAGACGAACGGUAAGUUGAGUAGCAAUACUUAGCCAAGAGUGUCGUACGGGUGCGUAACACGUAUGCAACCUACCCUAUACAGGAGGAUAGCCUAGGGAAACCUGGAUUAACCCUUCAUAGUAUUAUUGGAUGGCAUCAUUUGAUAAUUAAAACUGAGGUGGUAUAGGAUGGGCAUGCGUCUGAUUAGUUAGUUGGCGGGGUAAUGGCCCACCAAGACGAUGAUCAGUAGGGGUUCUGAGAGGAAGAUCCCCCACACUGGCACUGAGAUACGGGCCAGACUCCUACGGGAGGCAGCAGUAGGGAAUAUUGGUCAAUGGAUGCAAGUCUGAACCAGCCAUGCCGCGUGCAGGAAGAAGGCCCUUCUGGGUUGUAAACUGCUUUUGCCAGGGGAUAAAAAUUUCCAUGCGUGGAAAACGUGAAGGUACCUGGUGAAUAAGCACGGCUAACUACGUGCCAGC
rnacentral:rRNA from 1 species